rnacentral:lncRNA from 1 species
CAUGUUGGUUGGUUAGGCUUCAGGGAGACACACAUCUGGAUUCGAAUCCAGGCUUAGGCAAAUUACUUAAUAUCUCUAGACCUCAGUUUUUGCUUUGUUUUCAUCUGCAAAGCAAAAAUGGUGUUGCAUAUAAUUUGGCUGUGAGGACUCAGUGAGAUACUACAGGUAGAUGGCCAAGCACAAAGUCUGUCCCAAGCUAAGCAAGAGAGAUGUGAUCUUGCCUAUUUUUAUUUUUAUUACCAAAGGUCAGAGCCAAGCUUGGCUAGUGUCUGUCUCAUUCUAAGCCCAUGUUCUNAACCUUUGAGCUUGAGGCUCAGCAAAGUUCAGUCACUUGUUCUAGAUCACUUAGUGUGGCAGAGCAAGGAGCCUAGCUGAGUUAGCUUCCAUGCCUCUGAUCUGCACCCUGCAUUGCUACCUCCCUCUAUAAUGCUCUAUCAGGCCCACAGAACAAAUGAGACAUGGCUUGGGCCUUGGGGAUUUUAUUAUCUAGCUGGAAGGCUUAACUAUGUACCCAACAGAGACAGCUAAGAAAUGUGCUUGGAGCUAGGAAUUCAAGGUUCUGGAAGGAAGGGAAGGUCCUCAUGGAGGAGGCAGGAGAUGGGCUGGUCUUGAAAGAUGGGCAGGAAUGGCUGGUGGGGAGAGAAGGGGAGAAUGAGCAACCCCAGAAAGGAUCAUGAAGUGCCACACAGUGGUGCAAAGUGGGAGUAUGUGUCACUUCACGCAACAAGUAAUUGCUUGGGAUCUGGCAUCUUCCAUUUAAAAAGGUGAUGAAGAGAAAAACCAGAGGCUUUGCAGUGGAAGGAGAUACUGGCUUCCUGGUGGACGGUAUUUCUGAACAUGCAGUCUGGAGGUGAGAGGCUGGAGAGAUGGUAUCCAGUAAGGACCUGGUUUACAACAGAGCCUUGGGAAAUGAUGGUGAUUAUUAUUAUUAAGUUGUGGUUCGGAAUAUUCGAUGUGGUCAUCACAGGGAAAACUAUAACUGCUGUUUUUGACCCAGCAGCUCUCCUUAGCCAGUGACUUCCCUUUGGCCCCCAAGCCUGCUCUCCAUCUCCACCAAGUACAAGAAGACAACUUGACCAUCGAAUAGCCCCACCAUGAACCCCUGAAGCCCCUCACUCAAGCAUCUCCCCAAAACCUCCAGCUGGUUUUCAGCCUCCAGUGGAGGAAACUGCUCUGCAGCCAUACAUCUCUCCUGCAUCCCCUGAGAUACCUGGGCCUUCCCCUAAGAACCACCAUCUAUAGCUUCUACUCUAUAAAUUAUGACUAUGUGCAAAGAAUUGUUUUAGAGACAUGCUCUGAGUUCGGAAAUCUUCUUUGGCCAACCUUCAGAUAAGGAACACUUCCAAGCAAUUUGAGGAGACAUUAAACCUAUUUUUAAGAAGCAGUUGUGGAGGGGGGCGGAUAAUACAUGUAAUACUUUGAUAUUUCCUGUUUUUAGGAGCUCGUGUUCAGCUUGCAACCCUUUUCUUUGAAAAAGCAAUUACAAAUGAUUGAAAUCCUCUGUGAGUGUUUUAGAUGUUUAAAAAGAAAGCGUGGGUGAGGCCCCUGGGAGGAGAGUGCCGCUCCAAGCUCACAACCUGUUGCGACUUUGCCCCAUUGUGUUUUGAUUAGAAUCCUUGCUCCAUCAUCAAAGUUGAUUAUGGAUUUGAUUAGUGCAUUUUUCUGCUAUUGUGUUAUUCCCUUUCUUCUCUUUCUCAUUUCUUGGAGGGGAAUGUGUAGUGUGGUUAUCUGCCAAUAUUCAAGAAUGUUUAUAACUCACAUAUUAUUGCUUAUUCCAUGGGUUAAUUUUCUAAAGACAUUUUAAGGGUGGUAUGGUUUGCUUAUUUAGGGUAUCAUUUUGUGUGUAUAUAUCUGUGUAUAAAUACAUCUACUUCUGGAUAUGUGUAUACACACACACACACACACACACACACAUACACAAAUGUAUACACAUGGAACAGCUUAGAGUGUAGAGCACAUGUAAGCACACACAUCAAAGGCAGGGCUAGAGGAGUUACAGCCCGAAUACUAGCUUUCAGAAUGGCUAGGUUUGCUUCUUCCUUCUCAUAGUCUCUUCCUCUGCAACCACGAUUUUAAGCCCCAAAUCAUGGUGUCCAUGAGGGUAGGCUUAAGAUAGGUGUUCUAAUUAGGCCUCUGCAAAUCUCCUGAAGCCAGUCUGGGGAAACCAAACCACCCAGCAAGAUUUUUAGCUUAAGGUCAGAAAUUCUUAUUUCUUAAAAUCAGCCUCAGUUACAGAACAUCUGCUAUGUGCCAGGUCAUCUGCAGGGCUCUAUAUACAUUAUAUAUACAUUAAUUAUUUAAUUUGAGACAUGAGAAACUGAGCAAAAUGCAAAAGUAGUCAUCACAAUUUAUGUGAUCAAGAGAAUCAUUACUUGAAGGCAAGUUCUCCAUGUUGGUUGGUUAGGCUUCAGGGAGACACACAUCUGGAUUCGAAUCCAGGCUUGGGCAAAUUACUUAAUAUCUCUAGACCUCAGUUUUUGCUUUGUUUUCAUCUGCAAAGCAAAAAUGGUGUUGCAUAUAACUUGGCUGUGAGGACUCAGUGAGAUACUACAGGUAGAUGGCCAAGCACAAAGUCUGUCCGGAGCUAAGCAAGAGAUAUGCGAUCUUGCCUAUUUUUAUUUUUAUUACCCAAGGUCACAGCCAAGCUUGGCUAGUGUCUGUCUCAUUCUAAGCCCAUGUUCUUUCCACCCUACCUUUCUGCCUCCCACAUGCAUGGCUGAUUACAUAGAAGGACAGAUGGCUUGCUCUGUGGAAGCUGAGAGCCUAGCAGGGCUUUGGUUAAAUGAUUGGGGAGCAAGCAUAAAUUAAGAACAAUGUCAUCCAAAGAAGUUGUAAUCCAAAGCUUUUCAUCAAAACUUCCACAUUUUGGUUUCAGACAGGCCAUCUCUAUGACGUUAAUCAAACGGAGGGAUCUGCUACAAACCACCCUUGUGGGAGGUCUCCUUUGUACAUUCAUCUCAGCUGACACUGUAGAGGUGGUUGAAUGCAGCUGCCCAAUGUGCUGGCCCAGCCCAGGACAAAACCAAGAAUGAAACGGUCCCAUUGCCUGGACUUCUUAAUGGCUCAUUAUUGUUCUGGGGGCAGAAGGAAAGCCCUUUCCUCCCGUAGCUGGCAUGGUUAUAGUGGGAGCUGGACCUUGUGAUUAGUUUGGCCAUUAAGGUGCCCCAAGGCAUGGCUAGCUGCCCAAUGGUGUUUUACCAAUUGUUACAGGGCCAGUUUCAAUAGCUACUCUGUCUUGUGGUCACAUUGUUCAAAGAGAUGGACAAUGUGUUCCUAGAAUGUCUUGACCAGAAUGGGCCAUGUGAUUUGCGGAACAAAACUUGGUCAGGCUUUUUUGCUUCAGUCUAUGCUAGACAAUAGCAAGUGACUCAAAAGUUUUCACAGGGACCCCAGGUCACCCACACAAAACCUUAAGAAUGACUCAUGACUUAGUAUCCCCUUUCCCAAGGAGAACAGAACCUCUCUUGUCUUUUGCAAACAAUGACCCCACAGCCUCAGAAUAUUUUUUCUUUCUUUUCAAGUGAAACCUUGAUAUCAUCAGUGAAUUUGGGGUUAUUUUACCUCCACCACACCCUGUCAUGCUGGGAGAGAAGACAGGGUAGAAAUGGGGGUGUUUUGGUCAGUUUUUUUUUUUUUAUUUCUACUGUGACCAAAAGACCUGAUAAGAAUAAUUAGAGGAGGAAAAGUUUAUUUGGAAGCUCACAGUUUCAGAGGUCUCUGUCCAUAGAUGGCUGACUCCAUUGCUCCGGGUCCAAAGUAUAUCAGAACAACAUGGUAGGCAAAUGUGGUAGAGGAAAGAAGCUGGGAAUCUGGUACCAGGAAGCAGAAAGAGAGCUCUGCUCACCAAGGACAAAAUAUAAAUCCCAAAGACAGGCCCCCAGAGAUCCAGCUCCUCCAGCCACACCCAACCUGCCUGCAAUUACCACCAAGUUAAUCUCUAUUAGGGAUGUAAUGCACUGAUUAGGUUAAACCUUUUACAACUCAAUCAUUUCAUCUCUAAACUUUUGCAUUGUUUCACACAUGAGCUUUUGGGGAAUACCUAAUCUAAACCAUAACAGGGUUUUGGUCAAAAUAAUUAUAAGAAACUACUUCCCAGGGUUCUUUUGGAGCCUUUGAAGAAAAUUGUCAUACACAAUAAAAUUACAAAAAUAAUUAUUAUGAUAGUUUUUGACACUGAUUGAACACAGCCUCUGUACCAGCAUAAUGCAUAGCACUCGAUAUGUGUCAUUUCAUUUAAUGCUAACAGCAUCUCAUAAGGCAGGUGUUGCUUCCUGAGGAGGACUAGGAGUCACAGCUCUGGGAGUCAGCAACUAUGGUUCUAGAUUGGUCUCUUUUGACCCUUUGCAAGGGUCACAUUGUCUUUCUGAGCUUCUGUUACCUAACUCAUAAAAAUAGAAAGGAUGUUUUACCUUCUACGAAGAGUUAUUGUGAGAGGCAAUUAUCAUAGACAAGGCACUGCCUUAAGCAUCUUACUCCUUAAAUACCCUUUGAGAAAAAUCCAGGUGCAGAGAGGUUAAGCUACUGUUCCAAGUAGCACAGCUAGGAAGUUUUGAACCCAUAUCUGUUUGACCUCCAAAGUCAAAGUUCUUAAAUAGGCAAAUGUGAAAGCAUUUUGAAAAAAAUAUCUGAAAAGGCAUCAUUACUACUGAAUCAAAGUAAAUUGUCCUGAGGCCCAUUUAGGAUCAUCACUGAGCAUAACUAGCAGGACUAGUUCUAGAGAGAAGAAGGGGAAAAAAUGAGAAAUUUGAUUUGAAAUCAUUUGUUUGCACAAGGAAGUAAUACAGAUAAGUUCCAAUUAUGGAUUAUUCUUUAAGACAGUGGGCCUGGGACCUUUAAAACUGCCAAUGUCAUGAAAGAUAAAACUAAAAGGCAGGUGAAGGACUUUUUUCAGCAAAGAGAUCAAAGAGUUAUGAUGGCCAAAUCCAAUGAGAGAUCCUUACCUAGGUCCCAGAUGAGCAAAACCAUACCUGUCACAUAGACCAUUCUGGAGACAGUUGGAGGUAUUUGAAUGUAGAAUGUAUAAUGGGUAGUAUUGUUCUAUCUAUGUCAAUGUAAGACAAUGUCAUUUUUCUUGGAAGAAAAUAUUGCUGAAAUAUUUAGAAGUGAAGUGUGUUGAUGUCAGCAGCUAGGUUUCAGACAGCUCAGGGGGAAAACGGUGAGAAUAUCUGCAGAGAGGAGAAAGCAAAUGUCAUAAAAUGUUAACAACUGGUGAAUCUAGGUGAAAAUGUGUGUGU